AACGCACAUUGCGCCCGCCAGCAUUCUGGCGGGCAUGCCUGUUCGAGCGUCAUUUCAACCCUCAAGCCCUAGCGGUUUGGUGUUGGCGGCCGGGUGGCCCUCGUGCUACCCGCCGCCGAAAUGCAGGGGCGGUCGCCUCGCGGUAACCAUUACGCAGUAGUAACAUCUCGUAACUGGGACGCGGAGCGGCCACGCCUAACCCCAAUUCUUUCUAGAGUUGACCUCGGAUCAGGUAGGGAUACCCGCUGAACUUAA
rnacentral:misc_RNA from 1 species